rnacentral:rRNA from 1 species
UACAGAGGUCCCAAGCGUUGUUCGGAAUUACUGGGCGUAAAGGGCGCGUAGGCGGCCUUCUAAGUCAGACGUGAAAUCCCUCGGCUCAACCGGGGAACUGCGUCUGAGACUGGAAGGCUUGAAUCCGGGAGAGGGAUGUGGAAUUCCAGGUGUAGCGGUGAAAUGCGCAGAUAUCUUGAGGAACACCGGUGGCGAAGGCGGGUCUCUGGGCCGAUACUGACGCUGAGGAGCGAAAGCGUGGGGAGCGAACAGG